AGCUCCAUUAGUGUAUAUUAAAGUUGUUGCAGUUAAAAAGCUCGUAGUUGGAUGUGUGGGUGGCGUACCUGGCCCAAUUCCCACUUCGUGUGGUUGUAGUUGAGUGCCGGUUUGUGCGUUGUCCAUGUUGUGGGGGUGCGUAUGGUGCCUUAAUUGGUGACUGUGCGUAUGCUUCCACUCGUUACUUUGAAAAAAUUAGAGUGUUCAAGGCAGGCGUUAUUGCUGUGAAUAUGUUAGCAUGGGAUAAUAAGAUAGGGCUUCGGCACUAUUUUGUUGGUCUUUAGAGCUGAAGUAAUGAUUGAUAGGGAUGGUUGGGGGUGCUCAUAUUCCUUGGUUAGCGGUGAAAUGCUCAGACCCAAGGAAGAUGAACUUAUGCGAAAGCAUUCACCAAGGACGUCUUCUUUA
rnacentral:rRNA from 1 species